AGAGUUUGAUCAUGGCUCAGAUUGAACGCUGGCGGCGUGCCUAACACAUGCAAGUCGAGCGGUAACAGGUGUAGCAAUACAUGCUGACGAGCGGCGGACGGGUGAGUAACGCUUGGGAAUCUGCCUGUUAGUGGGGGACAACCCGGGGAAACUCGGGCUAAUACCGCAUACGCACUACGGUGGAAAGCCGGGGACCGCAAGGCCUGGCGCUAACAGAUGAGCCCAAGUCGGAUUAGCUAGUUGGUAGGGUAAUGGCCUACCAAGGCGACGAUCCGUAACUGGUCUGAGAGGACGACCAGUCACACCGGAACUGAGACACGGUCCGGACUCCUACGGGAGGCAGCAGUGGGGAAUAUUGGACAAUGGGGGCAACCCUGAUCCAGCGACGCCGCGUGGGUGAAGAAGGCCUGCGGGUUGUAAAGCCCUUUCGGUUGGGAAGAAAAGCUGUGACCUGACAUGUCGCGGCCUUGACGUAACCAACUAAAGAAGCACCGGCUAACUCUGUGCCAGCAGCCGCGGUAAUACAGAGGGUGCGAGCGUUAAUCGGAAUUACUGGGCGUAAAGCGCGCGUAGGCGGCUUUGCAAGCCGGAUGUGAAAUCCCCGGGCUUAACCUGGGAACUGCAUUCGGGACUGCAUUGCUAGAGUAUGGGAGAGGGAAGUGGAAUUUCAGGUGUAGCGGUGAAAUGCGUAGAUAUCUGAAGGAACAUCAGUGGCGAAAGCGACUUCCUGGACCAAUACUGACGC
rnacentral:rRNA from 1 species